rnacentral:rRNA from 1 species
AGGGUUUGAUCAUGUGCCUCAGAAUCAACGCUGGCGGCGUGCCUAACACAUGCAAGUCGAACGAGAAAGGGCACCUUCGGGAGCCUGAGUAAAGUGGCGAACGGGUGAGUAGCACGUGGGUGACCUGCCCUAUGGAGGGGGAUAACCCGGGGAAACCCGGGCUAAAACCGCAUAAGCCUUUAAAGUCGAAUUUAAAGGGAAAGGGGUAAGGCCUUCGGGUCUUAUCUUGCCGAAGGAGGGGCCCGCGUCCCAUUAGCUAGUUGGUGGGGUAAGGGCCUACCAAGGCAACGAUGGGUAGCCGGUCUGAGAGGACGGACGGCCACACUGGAACUGAGACACGGUCCAGACUCCUACGGGAGGCAGCAGUGGGGAAUUUUGGGCAAUGGGCGAAAGCCUGACCCAGCAACGCCGCGUGGAGGACGAAGGCCUUCGGGUCGUAAACUCCUGUCCGAGGGGAAGAAGAAAGUGACGGUACCCUUGGAGGAAGCCCCGGCUAACUCCGUGCCAGCAGCCGCGGUAAGACGGGGGGGGCAAGCGUUGUUCGGAAUUACUGGGCGUAAAGGGCGCGUAGGCGGCCUGGGAAGUCUUGGGUGAAAUCCCUCAGCUCAACUGGGGAAUGGCCUGAGAAACCACUGGGCUGGAGUGCUGGAGAGGGAAGCGGAAUUCCCCGGUGGAGCGGUGAAAUGCGUAGAUAUCGGGGAGGAACACCGGAGGCGAAGGCGGCUUCCUGGACAGACACUGACGCUGAGGCGCGAAAGCUAGGGGAGCAAACGGGAUUAGAUACCCCGGUAGUCCU